AUGAAGACAAUUACUGGACCUUUGUUCCUGUUUUUGUGGCUGCAGCUGGACUGUCUGAGUAGAGGAGAGGAGGUGGAGCAGCGCCCUUCUUCCCUGAGUGUCCAGGAAGGAGACAGCACUGUUGUUAUCAACUGCACUUACACAGACAGUACCUCUACCUUUUUCUCUUGGUAUAAACAAGAACCUGGAAAAAGUCUUCAGCGUAUUAUAGACAUUCGCUCAAAUAUGGACAAAAAGCAAGACCAAAGACUCACUGUCCUAUUAGACAAGACGGCCAAACAUCUCUCCCUGCACAUUGCAGCCACCCAGCCUGGAGACUCAGCUGUCUACUUCUGUGCAGUGAGCACACAUUGCUUCCCAGGCACCUGCAGCCUGUACCCAAACCUGAGACUGGGGCUGAAGACAUACUCUAUUUUCUUUGGCACAGACCUUCAA